rnacentral:lncRNA from 1 species
GGUGAGCAUUUUUAGGUCCUGGCGUUGGGGUUAUUGGGAGAGAGGAAUCCAAAGUAGAGAAAUGUGUUUCUCUGUCCUUCUUCCACUGCCUACAUCCUUCUUCGAUCCAUCUUCGACAUCAAAAGGGUCCAAAUUGUUCAAAGAAAGAGAUCAAAUCAGAUCCGCCAUCAGAUAGUCUUCUCAUGACCUAGCACUCUCGAGAAGGCUAAUCAUGAUGA